GGAGGUAUAGCUCAAGUGGUAGAGUACAUGCUUAGCAAGUACAAGGUCCUGGGUUCAAUCCCCAGUACUCCUU
rnacentral:tRNA from 1 species